rnacentral:rRNA from 1 species
UACGAAGGGGGCUAGCGUUGCUCGGAAUUACUGGGCGUAACGGGCGCGUAGGCGGAUGUUUAAGUCGGGGGUGAAAGCCCGGGGCUCAACCCUGGAAUUGCCUUUGAUACUGGCUAUCUUGAGUUCGGGAGAGGUGAGUGGAACUCCGAGUGUAGAGGUGAAAUUCGUAGAUAUUCGGAAGAACACCAGUGGCGAAGGCGACUCACUGGCCCGAUACUGACGCUGAGGCGCGAAAGCGUGGGGAGCAAACAGG